GCUGACGACCGGCGCACGGGUGCGUAACGCGUAUACAAUCUACCUUUUGCUGCGGGAUAGCCCAGAGAAAUUUGGAUUAACACCGCAUGGUAUGUAUUUAUGGCAUCAUAGAUGCAUUAAAGGUUACGGCAAAAGAUGAGUAUGCGUUCUAUUAGCUAGAUGGUAAGGUAACGGCUUACCAUGGCCACGAUAGAUAGGGGCCCUGAGAGGGGGAUCCCCACACUGGUACUGAGACACGGACCAGACUCCUACGGGAGGCAGCAGUGAGGAAUAUUGGACAAUGGAGGGAACUCUGAUCCAGCCAUGCCGCGUGCAGGAAGACUGCCCUAUGGGUUGUAAACUGCUUUUAUACAGGAAGAAUAAGACCUACGUGUAGGUUGAUGACGGUACUGUAAGAAUAAGCACCGGCUAACUCCGUGCCAGCAGCCGCGGUAAUACGGAGGGUGCAAGCGUUAUCCGGAAUCAUUGGGUUUAAAGGGUCCGUAGGCGGGUUAAUAAGUCAGUGGUGAAAGUCUGCAGCUCAACUGUAGAAUUGCCAUUGAUACUGUUAGUCUUGAAUUACUAUGAAGUAGUUAGAAUAUGUAGUGUAGCGGUGAAAUGCAUAGAUAUUACAUAGAAUACCAAUUGCGAAGGCAGGCUACUAAUAGUAUAUUGACGCUGAUGGACGAAAGCGUGGGUAGCGAACAGGAUUAGAUACCCUGGUAGUCCACGCCGUAAACGAUGGUCACUAGCUGUUCGGACUUCGGUCUGAGUGGCUAAGCGAAAGUGAUAAGUGACCCACCUGGGGAGUACGUUCGCAAGAAUGAAACUCAAAGGAAUUGACGGGGGCCCGCACAAGCGGUGGAGCAUGUGGUUUAAUUCGAUGAUACGCGAGGAACCUUACCAAGGCUUAAAUGUAGAUUGACAGGUCUAGAGAUAGAUUUUCCUUCGGGCAAUUUACA
rnacentral:rRNA from 1 species